AGACGACGACGGAGACGGUCGGAUCGAUGAAGACACCAAAGCGGUCAAUGUUCUUCCGUCCAAACUGUAUGAAGUCUAUUGGUAUACUGAUCAAGGCCAAUGGACUAUUUGGGAACAGUGGCAGUGUACGCUCGACUGUAAAAACUCUAAUUUCUUUCGUAAACGGUUUUGCCAAAACAGUUCUGCAGACGACAAAGAAGUCUUUUGUUUAGGAGAAAAAGAAGCGUACAAGUCAGGAGAUUGCUAUGUGGCUAGUUCAUGCCCAGAAUCGUGUCCCGACUAUCAAUGGGCUAUUAACUGUAAAAAAAG
rnacentral:sRNA from 1 species